CUGUUAACCCUAUCUGGCCCGAGUUUGUCUCGGCUCGUAUAAGGACUCGGCUUGUGUAACUGAUGACAACCGAUUAAAUUCUUAUUUUAUCUAGUAAUUUGUUAGCUCCACGUUUAAUGAUAAUUUGAGAAAAUAUAUAUGGUACAACAGCAACAAAAUAAUAAAAACAUUUAGUGUGGAUGUUCCCAAUGUUUAGAUGCAAACAAAACAAUAUUAUUUAUAAAUGGAUUAUAUAUAUCAUCUAGGGAAAACACUGUAAAAUGCGCUUAUUUUCGAGAUAGCACGCUUCCAUGCAGACUGUUUUUUUUAAGCAGAAGUUUGGUUUCAUAAGAAACACAUGCGUGAGUCAACUCUUGGUCCAAACUCCAAUCCAGACGGUGGCGGUAAUGUUCCAAAAGCUGGUUGCCAACCGCUAUGAUGAUCACAAGAAGAAAAAGAAGUUUGGCGUUUCAAAACAGUGGAUUCCGGUCAGAAAGACACACAUGAGGAAGCUCGACUCAGCUUGGCUUGCAGACAGAUGAGGACGGUGAUUGCCUGUCAUACACCUAAAGAAAGAACAGGGGCAUUAAAGACACAACUAUAGUGAACGUGAUGAAGAAAAAUUAUUUGGAACAAAGAGGCUGGAGAAAAAACUGAUAUGAAGAUUUCAGAAAUUGAUGCAGCACCGCAAGUACCAUCACCACCAAUGACUAUGGCAGGAUCCUUAAGAACACCAUCAAGAUGCACAGAUGCUGUACAUUCCAGUACACCUAUGAACAUUUACAGUCCUUGUUCAAGUGCAGUCGGAGAUCAAGACAACUUAUUGCAACUCGUCAUGUCUUUCACGACUGAAAAAAAGUUUUAAAAUCAUGUGACGUCAUAAAGCAGCAACUGUGCCUGAU